UUCCUGUGAUGAGAUUUCUCACUUCAUGGUCCGUGUUUUUGACUACUGUGAUAAGAGUUGAAGUUCUGAGGCU